ACGCACGCUGGCGGCAUGCCUCACACAUGCCAGUCGCACGAGACCUUCGGGUCUAGUGGCGCACGGGUGCGUAACGCGUGGGAACCUGCCCUUAGGUUCGGAAUAACUCCCCGAAAGGGGUGCUAAUACCGGAUAAUGUCUUCGGACCAAAGAUUUAUCGCCUUUGGAUGGGCCCGCGUUGGAUUAGCUAGUUGGUAGGGUAAAAGCCUACCAAGGCGACGAUCCAUAGCUGGUCUGAGAGGAUGAUCAGCCACACUGGGACUGAGACACGGCCCAGACUCCUACGGGAGGCAGCAGUGGGGAAUAUUGGACAAUGGGCGAAAGCCUGAUCCAGCAAUGCCGUGUGAGUGAUGAAGGCCUUAGGGUUGUAAAGCUCUUUUACCCGGGAUGAUAAUGACAGUACCGGGAGAAUAAGCCCCGGCUAACUCCGUG
rnacentral:rRNA from 1 species